GACAGAGGUGCCGAGCGUUAGGCGGAAUCACUGGGCUUAAAGCGUGUGUAGGCGGAUGCCUAAGUACCUUGUGAAAUCCCACGGCUUAACCGUGGAACUGCUUGGUAUACUGGGUGUCUUGAGCCACUUAGGGGCGACCGGAACAAACGGUGGAGCGGUGAAAUGCGUAGAUAUCGGUUGGAACGCCAAUGGUGAAAACAGGUCGCUGGGAGUGCGCUGACGCUGAGACGCGAAAGCCAGGGGAGCGAACGGG
rnacentral:rRNA from 1 species